GCUUUCGUAGCACAAUGGUAGUGCGACUGCCUUGUAAGCAGUAGGUUGUGAGUUCGAGUCUCACCGGAAGCCCCA
rnacentral:tRNA from 1 species